UACUUUGAAUAUAUUAUUUCUUUUGCCUCAGGGCUGAUGCAAAUCGUACUGCACCUAGUGGAAGUGAAUACCGACAUCCUGGGGCUUCUGACCGUCCACAGCCUACAGCGAUGAAUUCAAUUGUCAUGGAGACUGGCAAUACCAAGAACUCUGCACUGAUGGCUAAAAAAGCCCCUACAAUGCCAAAACCCCAGUGGCACCCACCGUGGAAACUCUACAGGGUUAUCAGUGGGCAUCUUGGCUGGGUUCGAUGUAUUGCUGUGGAACCUGGAAAUCAGUGGUUUGUUACUGGAUCUGCUGACAGAACUAUAAAGGUAAUAAUGAAGGAAGAAAAAAUAAACAUGACUUUGUGUUUGUCAUGUAAGUUUAAUCAGUUAUUAUUUCCUGUGGCAGGAAUUGCUCUUGCAGUUCCUCUGUUAUUUUAGACCUGAAUAAGGAGUAAAAUUUAUCAUUUAUACUAAUAAGUGUUCUAAAUAAAUAUCUGUUUGAAAAGUGCUAUUUAAACCACUUUUUCUUUACCUGCUGAAUACCUACCACUAAUUC
rnacentral:sRNA from 1 species